UACGAAGGGGGCUAGCGUUGUUCGGAAUUACUGGGCGUAAAGAGCGCGUAGGCGGUGAUGCAAGUCAGAGGUGAAAUCCCGGGGCUCAACCUCGGAAUUGCCUUUGAAACUGCAUCGCUGGAGUCUUGAAGGGGGUGGUGGAAUUUCUAGUGUAGGGGUGAAAUCCGUAGAUAUUAGAAGGAACACCAGUGGCGAAGGCGGCCACCUGGUCAAGUACUGACGCUGAGGCGCGAAAGCGUGGGGAUCAAACAGG
rnacentral:rRNA from 1 species